GGUCGCAAGGCUAAAACUCAAAGGAAUUGACGGGGGCUCACACAAGCGGUGGAGCAUGUUGCUUAAUUCGAAGCAACGCGAAGAACCUUACCAGGGUUUGACAUGCACGGAUUACCUCUAUGAAAGUAGAGCGACGCUCGCAAGAGUGGAACGUGCACAGGUGCUGCAUGGCUGUCGUCAGCUCGUGCUGUGAAGUGUCGGGUUAAGUCCCUUAACGAGCGCAACCCUUGUCGCU
rnacentral:rRNA from 1 species